CUUGGCCUUGUAUAAUUUACCGGAGAGACAAUACCCUGUUCAUUUCUCACAAUUUUUAUAUAAACAUAAGUUACCUAAAAUUUCCGCAGAGCAACUGACCAAACUUAAUGAAGAUAUUACUCUAAAUGAAGUGGAUACCGCCAUAAGAAAUCUCAAAGCGAAUAAAUCACCUGGACCAGAUGGCUUUAGUAAUUUUUUUUAUUCGUCAUUAGCAAACAAUAUUAAAGGGAUCCUUACUAAGGUAUUUAAUCAGAUCAGUUUAACAGGAGAUAUACCAAGGGAAAUGUUAAAAGCCCAUACUAUUUCCAUACUUAAGCAGAAUAAGAGCCAAGAAAUGAUUGGAAAUUAUAGGCCUAUUUCCCUUCUAAAUGUAUAUUUGAAAUUGUACGCUUCUAUUUUAGCAGCUAGACUAAAUAACAUUAUUCCUUCAAUUAUCCAUAAAGACCAG